rnacentral:rRNA from 1 species
UACGUAGGCAGCGAGCGUUUGUUCGGAAUUACUGGGCGUAAAGAGUGUGUAGGCGGUGCUCUAAGUUCGGUGUGAAAUCUCCUGGCUCAACUGGGAGGGUGCGCCGGAAACUGGAGUGCUUGAGCGUGGGAGAGGAAAGCGGAAUUCCUGGUGUAGCGGUGAAAUGCGUAGAUAUCAGGAGGAACACCUGUGGUGUAGACGGCUUUCUGGACCAUAGCUGACGCUGAGACACGAAAGCGUGGGUAGCAAACAGG